UACGUAGGGGGCAAGCGUUGUCCGGAUUUAUUGGGCGUAAAGAGCGUGUAGGCGGUUUGGUAGGUCCGUUGUGAAAACUCGAGGCUCAACCUCGAGACGCCGAUGGAAACCAUCAGACUAGAGUCCGGAAGAGGAGAGUGGAAUUCCGGGUGUAGCGGUGGAAUGCGUAGAGAUCCGGAAGAACACCGGUGGCGAAGGCGGUGAGCUGGGCAGUUGCUGACACUGAGGCGCGACAGCGUGGGGAGCAAACAGG
rnacentral:rRNA from 1 species